GGGGAUAUAGCUCAGUUGGGAGAGCGCUGCCCUUGCAAGGCAGAUGUCGAGAGUUCGAACCUCUCCAUCUCCACCA
rnacentral:tRNA from 2 species